rnacentral:rRNA from 1 species
GUCUGGGAUUAAGAUACCCCACUAUGCCCAGGCCUCAAUAAGAUUUUUUUCCACCAGAAAAUUACGAGCGAAAGCCUAAAACUCAAAAGACUUGACGGUGUCCCAACCUACCUAGAGGAGCCUGUUACAUAAUCGAUAAUCCACGAUCAACCUAACCACCCAUCGAACAUACUCAGCCUAUAUACCGCCGUCGCCAGCUUGCCUUAUAAAAGCAACCCAUAAAGCAAGCCAAACAGUACAUUUUUACCACUAAAAAGUCAGGUCAAGGUGUAGCUAAUAGGGUGGAGAUAAUGGGCUACAUUUUCUAAAAUAGAAUACACGGACUAGAAUCUGAAAUUAGACUAUAAAGGCGGAUUUAGCAGUAAGCUUAACAAGAAUAUUUAGCUUAACACAGCUCUGGAGCACGUACACACCG